rnacentral:rRNA from 1 species
AUUGACGCUGGCGGCAGGCUUAACACAUGCAAGUCGAACGGUAACAUAAAGAAGCUUGCUUCUUUGAUGACGAGUGGCGGACGGGUGAGUAAUGCUUGGGAAUCUAGCUUAUGGAGGGGGAUAACUACGGGAAACUGUAGCUAAUACCGCGUAGAAUCGGGAGAUGAAAGUGUGGGACCUUCGGGCCACAUGCCAUAGGAUGAGCCCAAGUGGGAUUAGGUAGUUGGUGAGGUAAAGGCUCACCAAGCCGACGAUCUCUAGCUGGUCUGAGAGGAUGACCAGCCACACUGGGACUGAGACACGGCCCAGACUCCUACGGGAGGCAGCAGUGGGGAAUAUUGCGCAAUGGGGGCAACCCUGACGCAGCCAUGCCGCGUGAAUGAAGAAGGCCUUCGGGUUGUAAAGUUCUUUCGGUAGCGAGGAAGGCAUUUAGUUUAAUAAACUGGAUGAUUGACGUUAACUACAGAAGAAGCACCGGCUAACUCCGUGCCAGCAGCCGCGGUAAUACGGAGGGUGCGAGCGUUAAUCGGAAUAACUGGGCGUAAAGGGCACGCAGGCGGUGACUUAAGUGAGGUGUGAAAGCCCCGGGCUUAACCUGGGAAUUGCAUUUCAUACUGGGUCGCUAGAGUACUUUAGGGAGGGGUAGAAUUCCACGUGUAGCGGUGAAAUGCGUAGAGAUGUGGAGGAAUACCGAAGGCGAAGGCAGCCCCUUGGGAAUGUACUGACGCUCAUGUGCGAAAGCGUGGGGAGCAAACAGG